UGGGGAAUAUUGGACAAUGGGCGCAAGCCUGAUCCAGCCAUGCCGCGUGUGUGAAGAAGGCCUUUUGGUUGUAAAGCACUUUAAGCGAGGAGGAGGCUACUUGGAUUAAUACUCUAGGAUAGUGGACGUUACUCGCAGAAUAAGCACCGGCUAACUCUGUGCCAGCAGCCGCGGUAAUACAGAGGGUGCGAGCGUUAAUCGGAUUUACUGGGCGUAAAGCGUGCGUAGGCGGCUUUUUAAGUCGGAUGUGAAAUCCCGGAGCUUAACUUAGGAAUUGCAUUCGAUACUGGGAAGCUAGAGUAUGGGAGAGGAUGGUAGAAUUCCAGGUGUAGCGGUGAAAUGCGUAGAGAUCUGGAGGAAUACCGAUGGCGAAGGCAGCCAUCUGGCCUAAUACUGACGCUGAGGUACGAAAGCAUGGGGAGCAAACAGG
rnacentral:rRNA from 1 species